GACGAAGGGGGGCUAGCGUUGUUCGGAAUUACUGGGCGUAAAGCGCGCGUAGGCGGCUCUUCAAGUCAGGCGUGAAAGCCCCCGGGCUUAACCCGGGAAUAGCGCUUGAUACUGUUGGGCUUGAGUCCGGGGAGAGGAUAGUGGAAUUCCCCAGUGUAGAGGGUGAAAAUUCGUAGAUAUUUGGGGAAGGAAACACCCAGUGGGCGAAAGG
rnacentral:rRNA from 1 species